ACAACAUUUGGACCGUCGGUCUAUCGAGCAAUUACACCCAACCGCUCGGCCGAAGAUUUUACUUUUGUCGU
rnacentral:pre_miRNA from 1 species